UGUGGGAGCGAGCCUGCUCGCGAUGGCGGUGGGUCAGCCAACAUUUGUGUUGAAUGAUGAACCGCUAUCGCGAGCAGGCUCGCUCCCACA
rnacentral:misc_RNA from 1 species